rnacentral:rRNA from 1 species
GACGAACGCUGGCGGCGUGCUUAACACAUGCAAGUCGAACGGAAAGGCCCUGCUUUUGUGGGGUGCUCGAGUGGCGAACGGGUGAGUAACACGUGAGUAACCUGCCCUUGACUUUGGGAUAACUUCAGGAAACUGGGGCUAAUACCGGAUAGGAGCUCCUGCUGCAUGGUGGGGGUUGGAACGUUUCGGCGGUUGGGGAUGGACUCGCGGCUUAUCAGCUUGUUGGUGGGGUAGUGGCUUACCAAGGCUUUGACGGGUAGCCGGCCUGAGAGGGUGACCGGCCACAUUGGUACUGAGAUACGGCCCAGACUCCUACGGGAGGCAGCAGUGGGGAAUAGUGCACAAUGGGCGGAAGCCUGAUGCAGCAACGCCGCGUGCGGGAUGACGGCCUUCGGGUUGUAAACCGCUUUCGCCUGUGACGAAGCGUGAGUGACGGUAAUGGGUAAAGAAGCACCGGCUAACUACGUG